GCUGGGCACGGUGGCUCAUGCCUGUAAUCCCAGCACUUUGGGAGGCCGAGGCAGGUGGAUCAUUUGAGGUCAGGAGUUCAAGAUCAGCCUGACCAACAUAGUGAAACCCUGUCUCUA
ensembl:misc_RNA Metazoa_SRP Metazoan signal recognition particle RNA